rnacentral:rRNA from 1 species
AGAGUACGUGAAACCGUUCAGGGGUAAACCUGAGAAACCCGAAAGGUCGAAAGGGGAGAUUCAGCGUGUCUCGAUUGCGGCGCUGGAUGGUCGUGCGACGGAAGACGUACGCGUCAUCCGCACCUUCCGUCCUCCGAACCGUAGUCGAACGCGUGCACUUCUCCCCCUGUAGGACGUCGCGAUCCGUUGGGUGCCGGUCUAAGGCCCGCAGUGGAGCCCGUUCGGACGGUUCACCGUUCCGGACGAACCUGCGGUGUUUCCCGGUCGGCUCGCUCGACGGUAUACAGAUGGCGCGGGGCCGCUACAUUAGUUAGCGUCCGACCGGCGGCAAGCGCGCUCGUCGUGACGGUGAUCGGACCUGGUGCCGGUCCUGUCCCCGAGUGGCUGUUCGCUGCCGUGUUCUCGGACAGACCUCGUCGAAACGCCGAUCUGCGACGCUAUAGCUUUGGGUACUUUCAGGACCCGUCUUG